rnacentral:rRNA from 1 species
CGGGGUGAGUAAUGUCUGGGAAACUGCCCGAUGGAGGGGGAUAACUACUGGAAACGGUAGCUAAUACCGCAUAAUGUCGCAAGACCAAAGAGGGGGACCUUCGGGCCUCUUGCCAUCGGAUGUGCCCAGAUGGGAUUAGCUAGUAGGUGGGGUAAUGGCUCACCUAGGCGACGAUCCCUAGCUGGUCUGAGAGGAUGACCAGCCACACUGGAACUGAGACACGGUCCAG